GAUGAACGCUGGCGGCGUGCCUAAUACAUGCAAGUCGAGCGAACGGACGAGAAGCUUGCUUCUCUGAUGUUGGCGGCGGACGGGUGAGUAACACGUGGAUAACCUACCUAUAAGACUGGGAUAACUUCGGGAAACCGGAGCUAAUACCGGAUGAUAUUUUGAACCGCAUGGUUCAAAAGUGAAAGACGGUCUUGCUGUCACUUAUAGAUGGAUCCGCGCUGCAUUAGCUAGUUGGUAAGGUAACGGCUUACCAAGGCAACGAUGCAUAGCCGACCUGAGAGGGUGAUCGGCCACACUGGAACUGAGACACGGUCCAGACUCCUACGGGAGGCAGCAGUAGGGAUUCUUCCGCAAUGGGCGAAAGCCUGACGGAGCAACGCCGCGUGAGUGAUGAAGGUCUUCGGAUCGUAAAACUCUGUUAUUAGGGAAGAACAUAUGUGUAAGUAACUGUGCACAUCUUGACGGUACCUAAUCAGAAAGCCACGGCUAACUACGUG
rnacentral:rRNA from 1 species